GACAGAGGAUGCAAGCGUUAUCCGGAAUCACUGGGCUUAAAGCGUGUGUAGGCGGAUCGUUAAGUGCCUUGUGAAAUCCCACGGCUCAACCGUGGAACUGCUUGGCAUACUGGCGGUCUUGAGCAACCUAGGGGCGAGCGGAACAAAUGGUGGAGCGGUGAAAUGCGUAGAUAUCAUUUGGAACGCCAAUGGUGAAAACAGCUCGCUGGGGGUUUGCUGACGCUGAGACACGAAAGCCAGGGGAGCAAACGGG
rnacentral:rRNA from 1 species